AACGCACCUUGCGCCUUUUGGUACUCCGAAAGGCAUGCCUGUUUGAGUGUCAUGAAAACCUCAAAGCUACCUUGAAUCUUCGGAUCUGGGGUGGGUUUGGAUUUGGGUAUUGCCAUCAGGGCUUGCCUUAAAUGACAAAGUGGCUUUUGCACCGUGGUGGCCAGCGUAAUAAGUUUCGUCUGGUCGGGGGUGAUUGCUGCCUACAACCUGAACUUUUAAGUAUGACCUCAAAUCAGGUAGGGCUACCCGCUGAACUUAA
rnacentral:misc_RNA from 1 species